GAUGAACGCUAGCGGGAGGCCUAACACAUGCAAGCCGAGCGGUAGAGUUCCUUCAGGAACUUGAGAGCGGCGUACGGGUGCGUAACACGUGUGCAACCUACCUUUAUCUGGGGGAUAGCCUUUCGAAAGGAAGAUUAAUACCCCAUAAUAUAAUGAUUGGCAUCAAUUAUUAUUGAAAACUCCGGUGGAUAGAGAUGGGCACGCGCAAGAUUAGAUAGUUGGUGAGGUAACGGCUCACCAAGUCAAUGAUCUUUAGGGGUCCUGAGAGGGAGAUCCCCCACACUGGUACUGAGACACGGACCAGACUCCUACGGGAGGCAGCAGUGAGGAAUAUUGGACAAUGGGUGAAAGCCUGAUCCAGCCAUCCCGCGUGAAGGAUGACGGUCCUAUGGAUUGUAAACUUCUUUUGUACAGGGAUAAACCUACUCUCGUGAGGGUAGCUGAAGGUACUGUACGAAUAAGCACCGGCUAACUCCGUG
rnacentral:rRNA from 1 species